AGGCGCAUAGCUCAGCUGGUUAGAGCACCACCUUGACAUGGUGGGGGUCGUUGGUUCGAGUAGAAUUACGUCUU
rnacentral:tRNA from 1 species